GACGAACGCUGGCGGCGUGCUUAACACAUGCAAGUCGAACGGAAAGGCCCUGCUUUUGUGGGGUGCUCGAGUGGCGAACGGGUGAGUAACACGUGAGUAACCUGCCCUUGACUUUGGGAUAACUUCAGGAAACUGGGGCUAAUACCGGAUAGGAGCUCCUGCUGCACGGUGGGGGUUGGAAAGUUUCGGCGGUUGGGGAUGGACUCGCGGCUUAUCAGCUUGUUGGUGGGGUAGAGGCUUACCAAGGCUUUGACGGGUAGCCGGCCUGAGAGGGUGACCGGCCACAUUGGGACUGAGAUACGGCCCAGACUCCUACGGGAGGCAGCAGUGGGGAAUAUUGCACAAUGGGCGGAAGCCUGAUGCAGCAACGCCGCGUGCGGGAUGACGGCCUUCGGGUUGUAAACCGCUUUCGCCUGUGACGAAGCGUGAGUGACGGUAAUGGGUAAAGAAGCACCGGCUAACUACGUGCCAGCCGCCGCGGUAAGAC
rnacentral:rRNA from 1 species